AAAAAAACAAGAACCUAGGUCAAAUAGAAAAUUGCAAUAAUCUUUACAGAGAUAAUAUAUAUGGAGUGUGGAUAGGUAUUGGGAUUUUGGGUGUUUUUUUUAAUGUUUUGUACUUUUCUGUGUUUUGUAAAUUUUGUACUCUUUAUAAUUAGGAAAAUUAUACGCUAUUGAAAAAUAUUGCAUAAAGUUUAGUCUUCUUUGAUGAUCUCCUCCUGGCUCCAAUUAAUUCAGACAUCCAGCUCAUCCCCUUCCCUUACUGCCUUUCUUACUCUGUACAGAUUUAUGUUUCCUCUGCACAGCUGCAGUUGGUUUUGAGUAUUUGGCAGAGUCUGUAGUUGGUGUUUAAAUAUAUUUAUGUGAAUUCUCUCUCCCUCAUCAGACGGCAUUUCCACAAGAGUAUUUUUCCUUUGUUUUCUUUAUAACUGUGCACAGUGACUUGAAAGCCCUUUUCUCAAAAUGUUAACUGAUUGAGGUAAUUGUCAAUAAUUCAGGGAGAAAAACAAACUUACUUAGAUUGAUUGAUUAUUAGCAUUAACAUUUAUUGGGAGCUAGGGCUCAAACCUUAAGAAUGGAAGGGAAUCUUCCAAGACCAGUUGGGAGUCAGAUCUUUGCCUGAGACAGCAUCAUGUAUUUAUGCAGCUAUUUCACUUACUCCUGGGACACAGAAAUACUACAUUUCCAAGGACCCUUGUGUUGAGAAGGGGUCACAUGACGAGUUCUGUACAACAGAAUGGAGGGAGGAGUGGUGUAUGCCAUUUCUAGGUCCUAAAUCACUUCAUUUGUUUCUUCAUGAAUUCCUGUUUCUCCUGCUGUCUGCUGGCUAGAUAGCCCCAAGGUGACCCUGAAGCCGCAAUACAGCAGAGCCACAAGAUGGAAAGCACCUGCAACUCUGAAUUUCUACUUAGAGAAGAACCACCCAAGAGAAUUACCUGAACAGAAACACCUGAAGGGAACCAGUUCUGAAAGAAUAUGAUGCUUGCAAUUGUAACUGCGAGACGACAAGCCUGAGGAUCAAAGUCACUAUCAGAGGACUGGAUGAGGUGGAGGGGCAGAAACAUCUUGACAGUGUGAUGGUAUCAUUGAACCACUGUUGCAACCCUGGGACCAUGUACCUCUUGAUUUCCUAUUGAAGACGCUUUCAGAUGAAUACUCCAUUACAGCCCAAAGCCUAAUUAAAUACAUCCAGUAAAACGAUGGCCUUGUGUUCCAUUAGAGCACAGAGUCAUGAAGAAACAGCCUGUAGCCUCUGGGCAGCUUAAAUUUCUGAUACUCACAGGUGAAAUUUGGCAUAUUCCUCCUGGAAAAAGUAAAAAACCAGGACUUGCUUGACCACAGUCUGAGAAUUCACUGGCUGCUGUCAGCAGAGCCUGUGGCCAUGAACGCUCUCAUCAUCACCCUCAUCAUGAGGAAGGAGCAAUCGUGGUUCUCACAAUUCAGCGCGAGAAACAAAAGGAGGGUUCUACUCCAGAUUCCACAUAAUGUUUCUUUACCUUUCUUCCUCAUUUGGAUCUUAUGUUUUCUUUGUUUCUUACCUUGACUUCAGAGAACCUCUUUUACCUUUCUAUUUUGCCAGCUCUGCUGCUACUUAAUUCUCCACUAAGGUAAAACAAUAAAAAGAAAGCUGGCUGAUUGACUCAUAGCAGUGCCAAAAAUGUUGUGUAUUGAAUGUUAGAACAUGCUCUGUUGAAUAAGCAGAAAUUUAGGAAUCCAACUCUCCCUCUCCCACAACUAUCACUGCCCCAACCUCAUACCUUUCAGUCCUACUAAGACUUCCCAGACUCUGCAUAUCUGAAAAUAAAAAUCCCAAACUACUAUCACUGAAAAUGGUAUGAAUCAAAGGCUUGGGAGAAAUUCUGCUCUAAGGAACAUAUCCAUAUUAAAAUUUGCUUUUUUCAGAAGUUCCUGUCCUGAUUUCUCUUCUUGAAGAGUUGAUUUUCAUUAUACAAAAGCAGAGAAUUAUGGUUUAUGCCAUAUUUUGUAAUUUAGUGAAUUUGAAGAUAGGUGCUUUUUUCUUUUAUGUCUAUCAGAUUUUUGAUUAAGAGUAAUAACACUCUGAGUCCAAAGCACAGAAUCAGAGUUGAUUAGUAGCCAAGAUACUCAAAUUUCAGGAUUGAAAGUAAUGUAUAGGAAAUUUGGUUUUUCUAGAAGACAAAAAUUUAGCAUUCACACCUGAAACGUGUACAAGGAUUGAAACACCUGCUAGCAAAAUGCUGUUUACAAUGCUGGGUACUCUAAAAGGUACUUCACAUGUGGAGUUGGUAUGAUUUGUGUUGUGUGGUUUUGGUUUUGUUGAUUAAAAUUUUUGUUUUGUUUUGUC